GAACUUAGGAUCAACUAAACCAAGAGCCUUCAAAGUUCUUAAUAGAAGUGAAACUCUUCUAGCUCCUG
rnacentral:tRNA from 1 species